GCCGGGAGCGCACAGCCCGGAGCAGCCCGGCCUCUGGCGAGAGCCAAUCAGAGGGCGCCUCUCAGCACGUGGAGGAGAGAGACUCCAGCGCUCCGCGCCCGCCGCUCACUACACUUGUUACUGCUUGUCCUGAGCGCCGAGAGGGCGAGCUCCGGCCGUAGGCAGGGCGGGAGCCGGCAGCCAGCGACCGAGAGAGGCCGAGAGGCACUGAGAUCGCAAUAAUAUCCACUAUAACCAGCCAUCUAACCCCACCCCCUCAACACACACCCAUCCAUCCCACCCGCCCCGAGAGGCAGCCCGCGGCCCGCUUCUCUGCGCCCAGGGGAAAAAACCCAGCCAUGAGCAAUCAGUACCAGGAGGAGGGCUGCUCCGAGAGGCCCGAGUGCAAAAGUAAAUCUCCAACUUUGCUCUCCUCUUACUGCAUCGACAGCAUCCUGGGCCGGAGGAGCCCGUGCAAAAUGCGGCUGUUGGGAGCCGCGCAGAGCUUGCCCGCUCCGCUGGCCAGCCGCACCGACCAGGAAAAGGCCGUGCAAGGCUCCCCCAAGGGCAGCAGCGCCCCGUUCGAGGCCGAGCUGCACCUGCCGCCCAAGCUGCGGCGCCUGUACGGCCCGGGCGGGGGCCGCCUCCUCCAGGGCGCCGCGGCGGCGGCGGCGGCAGCGGCGGCGGCGGCGGCGGCGGCCGCCACGGCCACGGCGGGUCCGCGGGGGGAGGCCCCGCCGCCGCCGCCGCCGCCGACCGCGCGGCCCGGGGAGCGGCCGGAUGGCUCAGGGGCCGCCGUGGCGGCCGCCGCCGCCGCCGCCGCGGCCUGGGACACUCUCAAGAUCAGCCAGGCGCCGCAGGUGAGCAUCAGCCGCAGCAAGUCGUACCGCGAGAACGGGGCGCCCUUCGUGCCGCCACCGCCCGCGCUGGACGAGCUGGGCGGCCCGGGGGGCGCCGGGCACCCGGACGAGCGCCUUGGCGCGGCCGGCGGCCCAGGUGGCGCCCCGGCGGCGAGUAGCGGCGCGGGCGCCGAGGACGAGGAGGAGGAGCUGCUGGAGGACGAAGAGGACGAGGACGAGGAAGAGGAGCUGCUGGAGGACGACGAGGAGGAGCUGCUGGAGGACGACGCCCGCGCGCUGCUCAAGGAACCGCGGCGCUGCGCCGUGCCCGCCACUGGAGCGGUGACCGCCGCCGCCGCCGCCGCCGCCGCCGUGGCCUCCGAGGGCGGGGAGCUGUCCCCUAAGGAGGAGCUGCUGCUGCACCCGGAGGACGCUGAGGGCAAGGACGGCGAGGAUAGCGUGUGCCUGUCUGCCGGCAGCGACUCAGAGGAGGGGCUGCUGAAGCGCAAACAGCGGCGCUACCGCACCACGUUCACCAGCUACCAGCUGGAGGAACUGGAGCGGGCCUUCCAGAAGACGCACUACCCAGACGUCUUCACCAGGGAGGAACUGGCCAUGAGGCUGGACUUGACUGAGGCCCGGGUCCAGGUCUGGUUCCAGAACCGUCGGGCGAAGUGGCGCAAGCGGGAGAAGGCGGGCGCACAGACCCACCCCCCGGGUCUGCCCUUCCCCGGGCCGCUCUCGGCCACCCACCCGCUCAGCCCCUACCUGGACGCCAGCCCCUUCCCUCCGCACCAUCCUGCGCUCGACUCGGCCUGGACGGCCGCUGCUGCAGCCGCCGCCGCCGCCUUCCCGAGCCUACCUCCGCCUCCGGGCUCCGCCAGCCUGCCGCCCAGCGGGGCGCCGCUGGGCCUGAGCACUUUCCUCGGAGCCGCAGUGUUCCGGCACCCGGCCUUCAUCAGCCCUGCGUUCGGCAGACUCUACCUUCCUUGUCAUUCAAGUGAUCCGCUGCCAACCAUACCCUCAUAUAUGCAACCCCGGACCCCCAGAGCAGCACAAGACAACGAACUCAAAGAAACGGUUCAUCAUAUAUUAUAAAUCCCUUUCUUUAAAUGAACAUCGAAUGAUGAAAUUAAAAGUCUGUAUAAUCAUACAGACAAAGAAACAAAGGAGAGAUGUAUUAAGUUGGAAAGUGCAGUGAAAAUAAAACUGAAUGCAGUUUCAAUGAUCUCUCUUUGGGAGAACAAAGAAAUAAUAGACUCAUCCAACUGCGCAGCCACUUAACAAAAAAAUCAUCUUGGAGAAAAUUUUCAAAAAAGACUCAGUAAAAUUACUUUCUUGUAACAACCAAUGAAGUAAACAGAUAGUGCACUGAAGUGUAGUUAGUGACUCAGUUUACCUAGUGGAACCAGGGCAUGUUACGCCCCCUCCAGGCCACACUUUAUUAUUUCCUUUUGGAAAAAAAUGUUUAAGUCCUCUGUCGCUCGCCCACCACCCUCUCCUUUCCCUCUUCUCACAACAAGUGACUGGUAAAAGUUGCCAAACCACGGCUGGAGUACCAGCUGCGACAUUUGGAGAGGCUGGAAGAGGGGCGCGGUGGGGGUGGCACAAGAGGUGGAAGGUGGGCUUGGGAGAAGCGAGGGGCGCUCCUGGAGCCCAGGUGGGCUUAUUUCUAAUCGUGGAAACCCUGAGUUGGCCUUCCGGGGGGCCGGAGCCAAAGCCCUAGGAGCUAGCGGCGGGGGUGGUGGUGGCGGCGGCAUUGAGGGUCAGGGCCGGCUCGGCCUCUGCCGCAAGUCUGGCGCGGUGCAGUGCAGAGGGUGGAAGUGCCGUGCGGGUUAAUGCUGGCGCCUUCUGGAGGCGGGUUCGCGGACUGGAGUCCCAGACUUGGGUUUCGCCGUGCGCCGCACGCGGGGGGGCUCUUUGGUACGUGCGUGCGGCGCAGGCAAUGCGCUCCUAGCGGGUCAGAGCUGCCUGGCGAGCGGAAAUCAACAGGCGGGAGCCCCCAUCCCCACCUCGCGGUCGUCGGUCGGGCUCUGACAGCUCUGCCCGGCGCAGGAAGACGGCCGCGGCGGCGGGAAGGCUGGCGAACAAGACCAGCUUUUCCAGGGUGGAAGGAGCCCCGGGCCGAGAAGGCGCUCUAUAGAAGGAGUACAAAGUGCAGCACAGGCUCUUUUCCACCAUGGCCCCCCUGACCAGCGCGUCGACCGCGGCCGCGCUCCUGAGACAGCCCACGCCGGCCGUGGAGGGCGCAGUGGCGUCGGGCGCGCUGGCCGACCCGGCCACGGCGGCCGCAGACAGACGC